UUUUAGACUAUGGAUAGUCAUUCCCCCAAAUUUGAUGUGUUUUUCAGGCUGAAGACCCCAAGAAAGAAAAAAUACAUGCAUAUGAUGAGAAGAUUGAGAUUCAAAAGAUCGAUCAACUUGCCUGAAAUUUUGACAUAGCAUUUUUCAGUGAGCACUGUUACAAACAGAACCCUGGGAAUGGAAGGAAAUUUAACACUCUGGAUAUGGAAAUCAAUCUUUAAAGCUGUCCAUCCACUGGGAAAAAAAUCUGACAGAUAUGAUUAAUGACAUAAGCAUGAAAUCAAUAUAGUAAGGCAAGUUGGGAAACUGCUGAUGCAAAGGUUUGGGAGAAGGAAAUGCUCACGUGUAGGCUUAAGUAAAAAUAAUGAAAGAG